UUGCAUUUUUGCAGCAAAUAUAGUAAAAUUGGAAGAGUUCAGAGAGGAUUAACAUGACUCCUGAGAAAAGAUGCAUGCAAUUUUGAAUUGUCCCAUAUUUUC